GUGGGGAAUCUUAGACAAUGGGCGCAAGCCUGAUCUAGCCAUGCCGCGUGAGUGAUGAAGGCCCUAGGGUUGUAAAGCUCUUUCAGCUGGGAAGAUAAUGACGGUACCAGCAGAAGAAGCCCCGGCUAACUCCGUGCCAGCAGCCGCGGUAAUACGGAGGGGGCUAGCGUUGUUCGGAAUUACUGGGCGUAAAGCGCGCGUAGGCGGACUGAAAAGUUGGGGGUGAAAUCCCGGGGCUCAACCUCGGAACUGCCUUCAAAACUAUCAGUCUGGAGUUCGAGAGAGGUGAGUGGAAUUCCGAGUGUAGAGGUGAAAUUCGUAGAUAUUCGGAGGAAAACCAGUGGCGAAGGCGGCUCACUGGCUCGAUACUGACGCUGAGGUGCGAAAGCGUGGGGAGCAAACAGGAUUAGAAACCCGAGUAGUCC
rnacentral:rRNA from 1 species